CCUUGUAAUGUGCUCAUAAUUAACUUGGAAUCUUUUUGCCAGGAAUCAAGAGCAUUAAGCUUAGAACACGAUGUAGAGUAGACCACAGCCAGUUUGGCACAUAGUACACGAGGAGUACGCAAACACUCGCCCUGUCACGGCGCUCUUGAUUUAAGUGUUGUAAGGGGCCCUUCUCUGCUGUUUUAGGAUACAAGCGACAUCUAUUUAUCAAACUUCCGCUUGCGUUGAGACGUGGAGGUGGAAAAGAGAUUACGGAUCAUUGGGUGUCUGCAUCGAUGUUUAACCAAGCGUUGGAAUGGCAGCUGGGAAGUGACAAACACCUCGACUGACCUCGAUCACUCCACUCGCCUGCCCACUGGCCCGCUGCAACGCCACCACGUUGGAUACGGUGUGGACGUCAGGUGUGCUGGGACCACUGUCACAUGGGCGCCGGAAGUUGUGUAUACUAGUUGCUAACAAGGCUGGCCCUGUGAACCGUGGACAAGUGACUUCCACAUCGUGAUGCAUCAGCAACAGUAGGUCCUGAGGAGGUCUGUGUUGUGCUUGAGGAAUUCAUGUGUGUACGUGGAUGAAUCUACAUUUCACCAUACUGAUGAUAUUGACGAAGUAGGCAAAUACCAGCUACUGUACUCACAUAAGGAGGCUAGGGUACAUGGUGCUCAGCAUCAACUGGAUGAACCUAGGAGAACAGUGACAGAUCUACCCUGGAUCUAUGAUGUCUUGGAGUCUAGUCUAGCAGUGCUUAACUCGUGUCAAGUCUAGCAGUGCGUAGCUCAUGUCAAGCCUAGCAGUGUGUAGCUCGUGUCAAGUCUAGCAGUGCUUAACUCGUGUCAAGCCUAGCAGUGCAUAGCUCAUGUCAAGCCUAGCAGUGCGUAGCUCGUGUCAAGCCUAGCAGUUCGUAGCUCGUGUCAAGCCUAGCAGUGCGUAGCUCGUGUCAAGCCUAGCAAUGCGUAGCUCGUGUCAAGCCUAGCAGUGCGUAGCUUGUGUCAAUAUGGCAAGUCGCCGCCUCAAGUUCCAGUACUGCAAGGUGAUCAUUGCCACAUCCAUGGUGUGGGUCAUGCUGGACGUGUUCCUGCUCAUGUACUUCACUGACUGCACCACCAUGUCCUCCGCCAACUGCAACAACAACAACAACGUCCGCAUUGACCACCAUGAUGGCCCCAAGCAACAGAAGCAGGAGGGCUUCCUCAACAGAAUACUGCCAAAAGGUCUGCUGCCCAACCGGUCUCCGACCGGCCCUGGUGAGAUGGGGAAGGCAGUUGUUGUCCCGAAGACUCUGGAGGCUGAAGCCAAGGACAAGUUCAAGAUCAACCAGUUUAACCUUGUUGCCAGCGACAUGAUGUCCCUCAACCGAUCAUUACCAGACUACAGAAUGGAUGCAUGUAAAAAGAAGCAGUACCCACCCCUGGAAGAUCUACCCACCACCAGCGUGGUCAUCGUCUUCCACAACGAGGCCUGGUCAACCCUUCUCCGGACGGUCCACAGCAUCAUCAACCGGUCGCCAAGGCAACUGCUCCAGGAGAUCAUCUUAGUGGAUGAUGCGAGCGAGAAAGACCACUUGGGAAAAGAUCUGGAUGAUUAUGCAAAAACCUUGAGUGUAAAAGUGAAAGUCCUAAGGUCAUUUGAAAGAACUGGUUUGAUAAGGGCCCGGUUGAAAGGAGCGAAGGAGGCUCGCGGAGACGUCAUCACGUUCCUGGAUGCUCACUGCGAGUGUACGGAGGGGUGGCUGGAGCCCUUGCUGUAUGAGAUCCACAAGAACAGGAAGUCUGUCGUGUGUCCAAUCAUUGAUGUUAUCAGUGACGACACGUUCGAGUACAUCACCGGGUCGGACAUGACGUGGGGAGGCUUCAACUGGAAACUCAACUUCCGCUGGUACCCUGUGCCCCAGAGAGAGCUGGAGAGACGGGGUGGUGACCGUAGUCAGCCUACAAGGACACCCACAAUGGCUGGCGGUCUGUUCUCCAUCCACCGAGACUACUUUUAUGAAACUGGGUCAUAUGACGAGGGGAUGGACAUCUGGGGUGGCGAGAACCUCGAAAUGAGUUUUAGGGUAUGGAUGUGUGGGGGACAGAUCUUCAUCGUGACUUGUUCCCGCGUGGGUCAUGUGUUCCGGAAAACGUCCCCCUACUCCUGGCCGGGCGGAGUUGCCAGGAUCAUCAACCACAACACCCAGCGCAUCGUGGAGGUCUGGAUGGACGAGUAUAAAGAGUUCUUCUAUAAGAUAAAUCCAGGUGUGAAGAGCACGGACUAUGGGGACAUCUCCGAGCGACAGGAACUGAGGAAGAGGAUGAAGUGUCACAGUUUCCGCUGGUACCUGGAAAACAUCUACCCAGAGUCCCAGAUGCCCAUUGAUUUCUACUCCCUUGGUGAGAUUCGAAACAAGGAAACCAGCUCAUGUAUUGACACAAUGGGCCGGAAGAGUGGCGAGAAGGUUGGCAUGGUGACAUGUCAUGGCAUGGGAGGCAAUCAGGUGUUUUCUUAUACCAAAAAGAAAGCUCUCCAGACGGAUGACCUGUGUUUGGAUGUCUCCUCGGUGACCGGCCCUGUCAAACUAUUUCAGUGCCACGGGCUGGGGGGCAACCAAAAGUGGGAAUAUGAUUUAGAGACACUGACGCUGAGACACGUCAACACUGGGCUGUGUCUAGGAAAACCAGCAGUCCAUGACUCAGGGACACCAUCACUGGGAGAGUGUACUGGCCUGCCCUCACAACAAUGGCAGCUGAGUGACAUGAAAUGGAAGAACUAGUGCAUUGUGGGAUACACAUACGACAGUUGGCUGACUGUCGGGAUGUUUGUCAGAUCUCAGGAGUUUCUGUUGUAACAUAUAGAGAUAUAUAUAUAUCACUCUGCCAUCCAGGGAGAUACAGUCCUACAGCCAGCCUCUUCUGGGCGUGUGUGUGAAAGUGUGUGACCCAGCUGAAGGUCGACCAGCGGUUUGACUUCAAACAGAGCAAGGAAUCUGUUUCCCUGUCCUUGAUGUGACCUACAGAUAAGGUCAGAGCAGCUAUAGGGACCACUAGCACCUCUCUGUUUAUAAUGUGACUGUAGCCAACAAAGGACCUGAAUACCUCGCGACUGUGCUGCUCAUAGACUUGGUAGAUGCAGACUGAGGCCACCAUUUGCUUCAAGGGGAGCUGGACAGUGCUGGAAGCGAACUCUCAUACGUUUUCUACAUGGAGGACUGCGGACAUGUUGACAUUUGUUUCUGUCAUCAUGAUUUCAUUACAGCUAUAAACGUUGGGGACGUAUUGCCAUAUUAACUUGGGACAUAUUGCCAUGGAAACUGGGGACAUAUUGCCAUGGCAACAUCGGGACGUAUUGCCAUGGACGCUGGGGACAUAUUGCCAUGGUAGCAUAGAGACAUAUUGCCGUGGACAUUAGCGCCUAUUGCCAUGGGCACUUUGGACAUAUUGCCAUGGACGCUGGGGACAUGUUGCCAUGGUAACAUUGAGACAUAUUGCCAUGGACAUUAGCGCCUAUUGCCAUGGGCACUGGAGACAUAUUGCCAUGGACGCUGGGGACAUGUUGCCAUGGUAACAUUGAGACAUAUUGCCAUGGACAUUAGCGCCUAUUGCCAUGGGCACUGGAGACAUAUUGCCAUGGACGCUGGGGAGAUUGAGUCAGAGAGAUGUUAAUGAGUGAUGAUGCAUAUACAGAAGAAAUCUCUACCCUAUUUUAUAUCCUCUUUGUAUAUUUGGAUUUUAUUGUAUAAUCUGAUAACUGGAUGAAAUUGUAUAAUCAUCUCAUCCCAUUGUAUGAAUAUUUCUUUGUUGUUUAUCAGAUGUUUAUGAUUGUGUGAGAGAUGCUGAGAAUAAUUCUUGACCUUAUGAAGAUGUUACUUCUUUUAGCUUUAGGUGGUUGUGUAAUAUGUUUCAUUUUAGCAGCUGCCACAUGGGCUUCACCCUGCCAUCUUCCAUGUGGCUUAACCGAUCAGCUGCCACAUGGACUUCACCCUGCCAUCUUCCAUGUGGCUUAACCGAUCAGCUGCCACAUGGGCUUCACCCUGCCAUCUUCCAUGUGGCUUAACCGAUCAGCUGCCACAUGGGCUUCACCCUGCCAUCUUCCAUGUGGCUUAACCGAUCAGCUGCCACAUGGGCUUCACCCUGCCAUCUUCCAUGUGGCUUAACCGAUGUAUGGCUUUUAGACUGACACAUGGACAACAGCAGUGUACCCUGACUGCUGUCACAGUGCUGAACAUUUGCGUGUACCCAUGAGCCAGACACCAUGAAAGCUGUCACAGUGCUGAACAUAUGUGUGUACCCAAGGAACCAGACACCAUGACAGCUGUCACAGUGCUGAACAUAUGCAUGUACCCAUGAGCCAGACACCAUGACAGCUGUCACAGUGCUGAACAUAUGCAUGUACCCAUGAGCCAGACACUAUGAUAGCUGUGACAUUGCCAAACAUAUGCAUGCAUAUUCUGGGUUAGGAUGCAUAGACAGAAGACAGCCGGGGAGAUAUCCUGUUAGGAUGCGUAGACAUAAGGCAGCCAGGGGAGAUAUGCUGUAAGGAUGCGUAGACAGAAGGCAGCAGGGGAGAUAUGCUGUAAGGAUGCGUAGACAGAAGGCAGCUGGGGAGAAAUGCUGUUAGGAUGCGUAGACAGGAGGCAGGAGGUGAGAUAUCCUGUUAGGAUGCGUAGACAGAAGGCAGCCAGGGAGAUAUGCUGAGGCAGCUGUGGUUGUGCCAGCAGUCCUAUGAUGUGUUAUUGGGUGGGCUUCCUUGGUUUCUCUGUUGUCAACCGUCUCAGGCUUCACUAUCCUGGUUGUCAUUACAUGGAUUGUAAUACAGGGUAAACAUUCUUGUCAUUAUUUAUCACAGAUUUGCUUUAUUUCACAUGUAAGGGUGGAGCAUGGAUCACCUCUGCAGGGUGUCUCACUAGCUGCUGAUCAAGACAUGUGGAUGUCUAAUCUGGUUCUUAGGUCGACCUGCUAGCGCUCACUAUUUGGUUGAGGUCAUCUUCCAUGCACCAGCUGUCUGGUGAAGGUCGACUUACAUGCAAUCGGUGUCUCAUGCAUGCACUCACUGUCUGAUGGAGGUCGACCUGCAUACACUCACUUUCUGAUGGAGGUCGACCUGCAUACACUCACUGUCUGAUGGAGGUCGACCUGCAUACACUCACUGUCUGGUCAACCUACAUACACUCACUGUCUGAUGGAGGUCGACCUGCAUGCACUCACUGUCUGUUGGAGGUUGACAUGCAUUCACUCACUGUCCGGUGAAGGUCGACCUGCAUGCACUUGGUGUCUAGUGGAGGUCGACCUGCAUGCACUUGGUGUCUAGUGGAGGUCGACCUGCAUGCACUUGGUGUCUAGUGGAGGUCGACCUGCAUGCACUUGGUGUCAAGUGGAGGUUGACCUGCAUGCAAUCGGUGUCUAGUGGAGGUCGACCUGCAUGCACUUGGUGUCUAGUGGAGGUCGACCUGCAUGCAUUCGGUGUCUAGUGGAGGUCGACCUGCAUGCACUUGGUGUCUAGUGGAGGUCGACCUGCAUGCAAUCGGUGUCUAGUGGAGGUCGACCUGCAUGCACUCGGUGUCUAGUGGAGGUCGACCUGCAUGCACUCGGUGUCUAGUGGAGGUUGACCUGCAUGCACCAAAUGUCUGUGGAGGUCGACUGUGGUCAGUUUGUGGAACAUGGUGGAGGUGGGUCGAUGUUCCUACGGAGGUCGCCCUGUACAAGGACCUGGGUGGGUGACCUGCAGUUGCUGCUGUGACAGCCAGGGGUAGGAUACUGCUUAGCAACUGUUGCUAUGUAUAAUUAUUUAUUCUAUUGACAAGUAGGUACAGUUUUAUAUGGAGAUAGGAUAUGGUUUUCUAUAAAAUUGAUAAUGUAUAGGAUAUAUGUUUUGCUUGUGUUUCAUAUGUUUAACUCAUGUUGGUAUUUAUACGUGUGUUGAUUGUUCACUGAUUUUAUGACAGACACAUAUGUACAAAGACAACAUUGUAUACAAACAUGACAUUUAUAGAAAACUGUACAUAUGACAUGUUGCUUGUACACACAUGUUGUUAUUAAGCUUUGUGAAUAUGAGUAGAGAUCAUGUUUCUGACAUCACUUCAUGUGGCUGUCCCAGACUGGGUUCUGCAGUUCACGUCAUGCUGCAGGACAGAUGCUGAUGCUGCCGUUUCUACCAUUAUCCGACAUCCUGAUGCUUCUAAUGUUGCUUGUUAAGGACUUGAUUUCUUGCUGUGUCUGCUCUUGAGUUGUCGGUUUGUUGUUUUACGCCUCACUCAGCAAUAUUCCAGCUAUAUGACGGCGGUCUGUAAAUAAUACAAUCUGGACCAGACAAUCCAGUGAUUGAUAUCAUGUGCAUCGAUCCACGCAAUUGGGAUACGAUGACAUGCAUCAACCAAGUCAGCAAGCCUGACCACCCGAUUCAGUUAGUCGCCUCUUACGACAAGCAUAGUCCCCUUUUAUGGCAAGCAUUGGUUGCUGAAGACCUAUUCUAACUUGUAUCUUCACGGGUCUGCUUGUUAACAAGUAAAAAAGACUUGAUUUCUUGCCGUCUCUGCUCUUGAAAAAGUCAAGCACUAAGUAUGCCUUUGAGGUUAUGAAAGAGAUGAACGUUUUAGUGGUUUGUGAAGUUUUAGAAUUUUUAGAAUUUUUUCACUACUGUCAGCUUAUUUAUGUAGUCAAAUGUUGAGUGAGACUGACAGGUUGAAGAAACAUGCUGAUUGAAGCUUUGUUUUUGUUGGAUGAUGCAUUGAAAGUGAUUGAUUUAUUGUUUUGUAGUAGCAAAAUCAAAUGGUUAUUCCUCCAAACAUAAUCUGGUAGUGAGAUGAAGUAUUCUUGGUUCACAGGCAUGUCCCCAGUUUAAAAAACUAAAUAUAUGCUUGUAUUACUAAAACAAUUUUUGAAAAGGUGACACUUCCUUAUUUUUCUAAAGACAGCCUGUAAUCCAACUGGGCUUCUUUUCUUAAUAAACCUGAUCACUUGUCACAAGAUUAUUGUAGGUCUUUGUGUGUGUCUUUGGAUUUCUAUAAAAUCUUGUUAGCUCUAUGAUUUGUGUGUACAUUCUGGAGUAUCAUCACUGUUUGUGAUUCCAGAGGUACCGUCACUAUGGUAAGAGUCGCCUCUAUGAUUUGUGUGGACAUUCUGGAGUAUCAUCACUGUUUGUGAUUCCAGAGGUACCGUCACUAUGGUAAGAGUCGCCUCUAUGAUUUGUGUGGACAUUCUGGAGUAUCAUCACUGUUUGUGAUUCCAGAGGUACCGUCACUAUGGUAAGAGUCGCCUCUAUGAUUUGUGUGGACAUUCUGGAGUAUCAUCACUGUUUGUGAUUCCAGAGGUACCGUCACUAUGGUAAGAGUCGCCUCUAUGAUUUGUGUGGACAUUCUGGAGUAUCAUCACUGUUUGUGAUUCCAGAGGUACCGUCACUAUGGUAAGAGUCGCCUCUAUGAUUUGUGUGGACAUUCUGGAGUAUCAUCACUGUUUGUGAUUCCAGAGGUACCGUCACUAUGGUAAGAGUCGCCUCUAUGAUUUGUGUGGACAUUCUGGAGUAUCAUCACUGUUUGUGAUUCCAGAGGUACCGUCACUAUGGUAAGAGUCGCCUCUAUGAUUUGUGUGGACAUUCUGGAGUAUCAUCACUGUUUGUGAUUCCAGAGGUACCGUCACUAUGGUCAGAGUCGCCUCUAUGAUUUGUGUGGACAUUCUGGAGUAUCAUCACUGUUUGUGAUUCCAGAGGUACCGUCACUAUGGUAAGAGUCGCCUCUAUGAUUUGUGUGGACAUUCUGGAGUAUCAUCACUGUUUGUGAUUCCAGAGGUACCGUCACUAUGGUCAGAGUCGCCUCUAUGAUUUGUGUGGACAUUCUGAAGUAUCAUCACUGUUUGUGAUUCCAGAGGUACCGUCACUAUGGUAAGAGUCGCCUCUAUGAUUUGUGUGGACAUUCUGGAGUAUCAUCACUGUUUGUGAUUCCAGAGGUACCGUCACUAUGGUCAGAGUCGCCUCUAUGAUUUGUGUGGACAUUCUGGCAGUGUCAUCACUGUGAUUCCAGAGGUACCGUCACUAUGGUCAGAGUCGCCUCUAUGAUUUGUGUGGACAUUCUGGAGUAUCAUCACUGUUUGUGAUUCCAGAGGUACCGUCACUAUGGUAAGAGUCGCCUCUAUGAUUUGUGUGGACAUUCUGGAGUAUCAUCACUGUUUGUGAUUCCAGAGGUACCGUCACUAUGGUCAGAGUCGCCUCUAUGAUUUGUGUGGACAUUCUGGAGUAUCAUCACUGUUUGUGAUUCCAGAGGUACCGUCACUAUGGUAAGAGUCGCCUCUAUGAUUUGUGUGGACAUUCUGGAGUAUCAUCACUGUUUGUGAUUCCAGAGGUACCGUCACUAUGGUCAGAGUCACCUCUAUGAUUUGUGUGGACAUUCUGGCAGUGUCAUCACUGUGAUUCCAGAGGUACCGUCACUAUGGUCAGAGUCGCCUCUAUGAUUUGUGUGGACAUUCUGGCAGUGUCAUCACUGUGAUUCCAGAGGUACCGUCACUAUGGUCAGAGUCGCCUCUAUGAUUUGUGUGGACAUUCUGGCAGUGUCAUCACUGUGAUUCCAGAGGUACCGUCACUAUGGUAAGAGUCGCCUCUAUGAUUUGUGUG
rnacentral:misc_RNA from 1 species